rnacentral:rRNA from 1 species
AACGAACGCUGGCGGCAGGCCUAACACAUGCAAGUCGAGUGAACCCUUCGGGGUUAGCGGCGGACGGGUUAGUAACGCGUGGGAAUAUACCCUUUGGUACGGAAUAGCCUCGGGAAACUGAGAGUAAUACCGUAUGUGCCCUUCGGGGAAAGAUUUAUCGCCAAAGGAUUAGCCCGCGUUGGAUUAGAUAGUUGGUGGGGUAAUGGCCUACCAAGUCUACGAUCCAUAGCUGGUUUGAGAGGAUGAUCAGCAACACUGGGACUGAGACACGGCCCAGACUCCUACGGGAGGCAGCAGUGGGGAAUCUUAGACAAUGGGCGCAAGCCUGAUCUAGCCAUGCCGCGUGGACGACGAAGGCCUUAGGGUUGUAAAGUCCUUUCAGAUGGGAAGAUAAUGACGGUACCAUCAGAAGAAGCCCCGGCUAACUCCGUG